GCCAGGCGGAGGGAGGGAGGGAGGGAGAGAGGGAGGGGAGAGGAUGGAGGAACAGGUUGUACCGCGAGCGCUGAAACUCCAAGGGCAACCAGAUGAGAAUAGCUCUGGAUUUCGGUUCACCUGGGAACCUGCGGAACGGAGAGUGGACUCAAGGGAAAUGAACUGCCUUGGGUUGGAGGGAAGAGGCUUUGAGCUAAGACUCCUGGAGCAGCGUCUCUCUUCCCAUCUUCCUACAAAUCCACCAAAAGAAACCAUUAACAGGGACGGAAGGAGAGAGAAAAGGAUCCCAGGAGAGCUGUUCCUGCUUGGUGAAGCUCAGAGCUGGCAGCAGCAGCAGGUGUCAGAUCAGCAUCAUGGUCUGAAGGCUUUCCUUGCUGAGCUCUACAUGUUCUUUCAUUGCCUCCCAAUAAACUGUUGCACCCCUAACUCCAUCCCAGUGUCUUCUUUGCAGAGCACGCUGCUGAUACAUCAGAUAACUGAACCUGCUUUCUUCUCCAGCCAUCUGAUCCCAGAAGGACUGGUCCUAGCAGACCACAGGAGGUCUUGUACGGUGUGCAGAACCACGGAGGAAAGAAUAUUAUUAGAAGUAAUACAUUGA
rnacentral:lncRNA from 1 species